rnacentral:rRNA from 1 species
UACGUAGGGUGCAAGCGUUUAAUCGGAAUUACUGGGCGUAAAGCGCGCGUAGGCGGCUUUGUAAGUUUAGAGGUGAAAGCCCGGGGCUCAACUCCGGAAUUGCCUUUAAGACUGCAUCGCUAGAAUUGUGGAGAGGUAAGUGGAAUUCCGAGUGUAGAGGUGAAAUUCGUAGAUAUUCGGAAGAACACCAGUGGCGAAGGCGACUUACUGGACACAUAUUGACGCUGAGGUGCGAAAGCGUGGGGAGCAAACAGG